GUUUCCCGUAAGGCGCCGAAUGAGUCAUUAAAAAAUUAACAUCAUCCGAUCCCUAGUCGGCAUAGUUUAUGGUUAAGACUACGACGGUAUCUGAUCGUCUUCGAUCCCCUAACUUUCGUUCUUGAUUAAUGAAAACAUCCUUGGCAAAUGCUUUCGCAGUAGUUAGUCUUCAAUAAAUCCAAGAAUUUCACCUCUGACAAUUGAAUACUAAUGCCCCCAACUAUCCCUAUUAAUCAUUACGUCAAUCUUAGAAACCAACAAAAUAAGAUCGAACGUCCUAUUUCAUUAUUCCAUGCUAAUGUAUUCAAGCGUUAGCCUGCUUUAAACACUCUAAUUUUUUCAAAGUAACAGUCCAGAUUCCUCGCAACACCAAAUUAAUGGCAUUACGGCUCAUCAGGAAGGAGGAAUCAGUGAGACCAGUACAUACCAGUGGCAUGACCAAUCUACUGACCCCGAAAUUCAACUACGAGCUUUUUAACUGCAACAACUUUAAUAUACGCUAUUGGAGCUGGAAUUACCGCGGCUGCUGGCACCAGACUUGCCCUCCAA
rnacentral:rRNA from 1 species